CGUCGGAGCUAUACAUGCAGUCGAGCGAACAGAUGAGAAGCUUGCUUCUCUGAUGUUAGCGGCGGACGGGUGAGUAACACGUGGGUAACCUACCUAUAAGACUGGGAUAACUCCGGGAAACCGGGGCUAAUACCGGAUAAUAUUUUGAACCGCAUGGUUCAAUAGUGAAAGACGGUUUCGGCUGUCACUUAUAGAUGGACCCGCGCCGUAUUAGCUAGUUGGUAAGGUAACGGCUUACCAAGGCGACGAUACGUAGCCGACCUGAGAGGGUGAUCGGCCACACUGGAACUGAGACACGGUCCAGACUCCUACGGGAGGCAGCAGUAGGGAAUCUUCCGCAAUGGGCGAAAGCCUGACGGAGCAACGCCGCGUGAGUGAUGAAGGUCUUCGGAUCGUAAAACUCUGUUGUUAGGGAAGAACAAAUUUGUUAGUAACUGAACAAGUCUUGACGGUACCUAACCAGAAAGCCACGGCUAACUACGUGCCAGCAGCCGCGGUAAUACGUAGGUGGCAAGCGUUAUGCGGAAUUAUUGGGCGUAAAGCGCGCGUAGGCGGUUUCUUAAGUCUGAUGUGAAAGCCCACGGCUCAUCCGUGCAGGCUCUUUGGAAACUGAAAAACUUGAGUGCACAAAGAGAGAGAGUGCAUUCCCGUGUGUAGCUGUGCAAUGCACAGACAUAUGACCGAACACCAUGGGGAUACGCGCGCUCUCUCUGUUGUGCACUGGAUGUCGGAUGUGCCAAUGUCGCGUGCAUCAAUGAGACUUAGAGACCUUCGGAUU
rnacentral:rRNA from 1 species